rnacentral:rRNA from 1 species
GUAGGUGGCAAGCGUUAUCCGGAAUUAUUGGGCGUAAAGCGCGCGUAGGCGGUUUUUAAGUCUGAUGUGAAAGCCCACGGCUCAACCGUGGAGGGUCAUUGGAAACUGGAAAACUUGAGUGCAGAAGAGGAAAGUGGAAUUCCAUGUGUAGCGGUGAAAUGCGCAGAGAUAUGGAGGAACACCAGUGGCGAAGGCGACUUUCUGGUCUGUAACUGACGCUGAUGUGCGAAAGCGUGGGGAUCAAACAGGAUUAGAUACCCUGGUAGUCCACGCCGUAAACGAUGAGUGCUAAGUGUUAGGGGGGUUUUCCGCCCCCCUUAGUGCUGCAGCUAACGCAUUAAGCACUCCGCCUGGGAGUACGACCGCAAGGUUG